ensembl:lncRNA
AUGAGUUUGUUAGAAAAACCACUUUCCUUUGCUCCUAGCGCCUUCUCGUUCGCUGUAUAGCGUUUUGAGCGGAUAAAGAGCACAAGUGUGUUAGGGGACACAGGAUGAAUGGGAACUAAUUUUGUUAUUGUACUUUUGAUGAAAAGUGACUAUCUUGACAUGAAAUGUCACUUUUUUCACCUUAUCAUACUUUUUCAUCAACUUUUGCAUUUUAAUGUAAACAAUCAUAUUUCGUAAUAUUUUGGGUCAGAAACAUUUCAUAGUACUAUAUUAUGUCUAACUAUGUGAAAAAAUCAAAUUGGAGUAGGUCGUGCACUUGAUUAUAUGAGUUUGUUAGAAAAACCACUUUCCUUUGCUCCUAGCGCCUUCUCGUUCGCUGUAUAGCGUUUUGAGCGGAUAAAGAGCACAAGUGUGUUAGGGACACAGGAUGAAUGGGAACUAAUUUUGUUAUUGUACUUUUGAUGAAAAGUGACUUUCUAGACAUAAAAUGUCACUUUUUUCACCUUAUCAUACUAUUUCAUCAACUUUUGCAUUUUAAUGUAAACAAUCAUAUUUCGUAAUAUUUUGGGUCAGAAACAGUUCAUACUACUAUAUUAUGUGUAAAUAUGUGAAAAAAAUCAAAUUGGAGUACGUCGGGCAAUUGAUUAUAUGAGUUUGUUAGAAAAACCACUUUCCUUUGCUCCUAGCACCUUCU